GGGGUCGAUCGGUUUCGACGGUAGUUGUCCAGCCAGGGGAAGCGGGCCGAGGAUCCAGGGUUAUCUCGCUAACGCUCCCUGGAAAACAAUAAGUGCCGAACCUAAGCGCACUGACUUCGCUCUCGCUGCCUGAUCAGCGACAGCAGUCUGGACCGUCAGGGAUUGCCUUCGAUCUGACCUGUCCAUCAUCUAGAGGGCCACUGCUACCAACCCUGGUCACCGGGGUUGGGUGAACACCUUAGAGUGACUGAGCCCGUCAGCGACGUGUCCGUGUGAGCGCUGGGGCUGAGAAAACGAUUUCGCGGACUGCGCCCGGAGAAGCCCUGGCUUCGCACUAUCGGACGCGGGUUCGAUUCCCGCCGGCUCCACGA
rfam:Dermabacter sp. HFH0086 genomic scaffold acArI-supercont-complete, whole genome shotgun sequence.